UGCCAGACUCCUACGGGAGGCAGCAGUGGGGGAUAUUGCACAAUGGGGGGAACCCUGAUGCAGCGACGCCGCGUGGGUGAAGAAGCGCCUCGGCGCGUAAAGCCCUGUCAGCAGGGAAGAAAAUGACGGUACCUGAAGAAGAAGCCCCGGCUAACUACGUGCCAGCAGCCGCGGUAAUACGUAGGGGGCAAGCGUUAUCCGGAUUCACUGGGUGUAAAGGGAGCGUAGACGGCGACGCAAGUCUGGAGUGAAAGCCCGGGGCCCAACCCCGGGACUGCUCUGGAAACUGCGGCGCUGGGGUACGGGAGGGGCAGGCGGAAUUCCUGGUGUAGCGGUGAAAUGCGUAGAUAUCAGGAGGAACACCGGUGGCGAAGGCGGCCUGCUGGACUGCGACUGACGUUGAGGCCCGAAAGCGUGGGGAGCAAACAGGAUUAGAUACCCCCGUA
rnacentral:rRNA from 1 species